rfam:Ciona savignyi cont_9953, whole genome shotgun sequence.
ACUGGGUUGGGCGAGUGGUUACAGCGUUGGACUUAAGUUCCAAUGGACAAGUGUCCGCGUGGGUUCGAACCCCACACUCCAGUA